GAAUCCCGKCUUUGACACKGACUGCCUGUACAUUAUGGKGUGCUCUCGAAGAGUCGAGUUGUUUGGGAAUGCAGCUCAAAAUGGGUGGUAAAUGCCAUCUAAAGCUAAAUAUUGGCGAGAGACCGAUAGCGAACAAGUACCGUGAGGGAAAGAUGAAAAGAACUUUGGAAAGAGAGUUAAACAGUACGUGAAAUUGCUGAAAGGGAAACGCUUGAAGUCAGUCGCGUUGGCUAGAAAUCAACCUUGCUUUUGCUUUGUGUACUUUCUGGUUGACGGGUCAGCAUCAAUUUUGACCACUGGAUAAAGUCUUUGGGAAUGUGGCAUCUUCGGAUGUGUUAUAGCCCAUUGUCGCAUACGGUGGUUGGGAUUGAGGAACUCAGCACGCCGCAAGGCCGGGUUUCGACCACGUUCGUGCUUAGGAUGCUGGCAUAAUGGCUUUAAUCGACCCGUCUUGAAACACGGACCAAGGAGUCUAACAUGUCUGCGAGUGUUUGGGUGCAAAACCCGAGCGCGUAAUGAAAGUGAAAAGUUGGGACCCUUCGGGGGCACCGACGCCCGAGCCGGACCUUCUGUGAUGGCUUCGAGGUAGAGCAUAUAUGUUGGGACCCGAAAGAUGGUGAACUAUGCCUGAAUAGGGCGAAGCCAGAGGAAACUCUGGUGGAGGCUCGUAGCGAUUCUGACGUGCAAAUCGAUCGUCAAAUUUGGGUAUAGGGGCGAAAGACUAAUCGAACCAUCUAGUAGCUGGUUCCUGCC
rnacentral:rRNA from 1 species